AGAGUUUGAUCAUGGCUCAGAUUGAACGCUGGCGGCAGGCUUAACACAUGCAAGUCGAGCGGUAACAGAGAGGUGCUUGCACCUUUGCUGACGAGCGGCGGACGGGUGAGUAAUGCUUGGGAAUAUGCCUUAUGGUGGGGGACAACAGUUGGAAACGACUGCUAAUACCGCAUAAUCUCUUCGGAGCAAAGUGGGGGACCUUUCGGGGCCUCACGCCAAUAGAUUAGCCCAAGUGAGAUUAGCUAGAUGGUGAGGUAAGAGCUCACCAUGGCGACGAUCUCUAGCUGGUUUGAGAGGAUGAUCAGCCACACUGGGACUGAGACACGGCCCAGACUCCUACGGGAGGCAGCAGUGGGGAAUAUUGCACAAUGGGGGCAACCCUGAUGCAGCCAUGCCGCGUGUGUGAAGAAGGCCUUCGGGUUGUAAAGCACUUUCAGUUGGGAGGAAAGGUAUUGUUUUAAUAGAGCAAUGCUAUGACGUUACCAACAGAAGAAGCACCGGCUAACUCCGUGCCAGCAGCCGCGGUAAUACGGAGGGUGCGAGCGUUAAUCGGAAUUACUGGGCGUAAAGCGUGCGUAGGCGGAUUGUUAAGCAAGAUGUGAAAGCCCAGGGCUCAACCUUGGAACUGCAUUUUGAACUGGCAGUCUAGAGUAUUGUAGAGGGUGGUGGAAUUUCCAAUGUAGCGGUGAAAUGCGUAGAGAUUGGAAGGAACAUCAGUGGCGAAGGCGGCCACCUGGACAAAUACUGACGCUGAGGCACGAAAGCGUGGGGAGCGAACAGGA
rnacentral:rRNA from 1 species